CCCGUUGCACGUACGUUAACUGGCAAACGGGACGAGUUCAAACCGAGUUUCAGUACGCGCGAAAAUGAUUUGAAGGCUGUCCUAGAUAUUAAGUUUGCCGUAUUUGGGAGUACCACCCGCCUAACAAAAGUUUUAACAGAUUCUUUAAUAGAAGACCAGACUUGCAUAUCAUCAUGUCUGGCUGAGGGAAAAGGCUGUAUGAAUUAAGGGAAUAUUUUCUUACACGUCCACUUAAAAAAGGGAGCACUUCUAGCUAUGCUUUCUUUCUUGUUUGUUUGUUUUAAAUUAGCCUGUAGAGUCUGAAAGGUAGAAUGAAGUUGGAAAAGACCACAGUGUUUGAAACACAAAAUGAACUGACUUAUGAGAAUUGGAUAAAAAGAAGGAAAAAUUGAUCAUUUCAGAAUCUUGAGUGUGGCCCCAUGAACACCUACAGUUGGCUUUUUAAGAGAACAGCUGAGCAGAUCAAUACUUUACCAACAAUGAAAAAAGUAAUUUCAUUAUUUUGUAAUUGAAACUAAUAAUGCUCCAUGGCUAGUUUGUCCUAUACCUUUAAAGACUGUGCAUACAACUUUUUCCUACUUGAAUAACAAAGUGUAAUUAGGAGAAUUUCUGUAAAUCACAUUCAGUUUGUCAAUUAUCCAAAUAAAUUUUAGAAAACUAAAAGUUCAGAUAAUAUUGCUGAAAGAAAUUAUAUCAAGAAUGAUUGAUAUAAAACUAUGUAUUUUUCAUUUCAUUUUCAUGUACUAAUGCCUUAAAAUGUGUGAUGUUGUGGGAUUAAUAUAUUGUUUAUUAAAUCACAGAAAGGGAUAACUGAAGAUUUGGCAUAAUUGCAAGAAAUUUUGCAAAUUGAAUGUAUUUACUAAACGUAGAUACCUGUCUUAUUGAGAGGGGCUGUUAGUCCAUAUUUAUUUAUAUCCUUCUUUUGAGUUCUUUCAAAAAGAAAAAACUCAAGGCAGCUUACAUCAUUCAUCUGUUCUCUAUCUUAUCCCCAGAACCACAACCCUGUGAGGUAGGUUGGGCUCAGAGUGGCCCAAAGUCACCCAGUUGGGUGCAUGGCUGAGUGAGGACAAGAACCCAGAUUGCCUGAAUCCCUGUCCCACACUCUUAACCAUCACACCACAUUGGCUCUCAGUAUUGAGAGCCGUCCAGAAACGCAGAGUGAUGGACAGCCUAGAAAUAUCCCAAAUAAAUAAAUAAUAAAUAUUGAUCUUAUUCAGUAUCAACUACAGGAGAAAGCAUGAAGCCCUAGACAGCUUUCUUUGCACUCACUGAGGCCCUACCCUCACUUUUUAAAUUAAUGUUUUUAGAAGCUGCUGGGAAUUUUUAAAAACCUUUAUCAUCUAUCAGAAAAAUCCUUGAAAAAGUAUUACUUAUCAAAAUUUUGAUUUUUUGUGGUUUUGUUAUAUUUGAAUAAUUGUGCCAACAGGUAUAUGUUUUUGUUUUGUAAAAGUUUCAGUCUUUACAGGUGCACAGUUAUGAAAAGUCUGAAAUAAAAGUCUUGCCUGAGACAGUGUCCUAGGAGAUACCUGCUGGCAGUAGCUACCAUCCAUGGACACUGACCAAAAGAAGCAGCAGCUGCUGCUGCUGUUAUAUUGUGUUCAUGCCCCACUUUUUUUUCUCUUGUGAGGAACCCAAGGCACCAUUUAUCCUCAGUACUACUACUACUACAACCAUGUGAGGUAGAUUGGGCUGAGAAUCUGUGACUGGCCCAAAGUCACCAUUGAGCUUCAAAGCAGAGUGGGGACUAAAACCAGAUCUUUAGGGUCCCAGUCCAGCACUCUAGCCUAGCCACCAUACUACACCAGCUCAAAUGCACAAACACUCAUUUAGAACUAUAAUGCUGGUAUUUGUUUAUUUAGAGCUGUAUAUUUUCUACCUAAUUACACAUUUUAAAAAUCCCUGCAGCGGCUGAUAGUGGGACAGAGAUCUCCCAGAUUGUGUAAAGACCUUAUCUGAUGUAUCUGUCUUUCUUUUCAGGUCCCCUUUGUGAGACAAAGAAAAUGUUCUGUAAUGAUGGCUCUUUGGGAAAAAAAAACUUAAUAAAUUUGGGGUUUGAAGGAGGCUAGUAUGGAAAUAUGGACGUGUUGAUAGCAUGUUGAGUUGAAACUUUUCAUUAUGGAAGAUUUAAAAUAAGAUUUUAAAACUGCAUUUAAUUUCAACUAAACAACACAUGUUUAGCCUCUUUAUGGGUAUUUACUUCAGUUGUUUCAGUUGGAUUGUGCUUCCUUAAGGAGUAAUGCUUUAAUUCCAGAGUCAUUAUUCCUGUAGUUUAAUAAGAUGAACGUGUCUAGAAAUUAGUAUCACCUUGACAACUGUUUCAAUGGCUGAUUCAAAUAAAGACAAGAAACCACUGCCUGGUUUGUAAUUGAAAUUACAGAUGGAUACUGAAAACACAUCAAUAUAAGGUAUAUUUAUCUGAGUCAGGAGGCAUACAGUACUAUUAAAUUACUAUUGGAUUAUUUUUGUGGAGUGGUAACUAGCCAUUGCAGUAACCCUUAAAAUAUUUGAAUGUACUAUUAUUUAAUUAAAGAUGUGUUCUGGAAAAUAUAGGGCUAUCAUAGUAUAAUUCUUGAAAAUCAUUAUUUUUCAUUUAAUGUCAAGGCUUAAAGAUGCACCUUUUAUAGGAUUAAAGAACAAGUUCUAAUGUAAUCCCUUGAGCUUACAUCUAUGAUUUUCAGAUGAAGAGGUUACACAAUACAUGCAGAUAAGCUGAUGCAGAGGAAUGGAGACAUUCAACAAGUAUUCUAUUACUGCAUUAAUUGAAACAAAAGAUGCCUAAGAACCUAAUACUAUAAAAGUCUCAUUAGUGUUAUAGUUUUCUUUUUCCACUUGUGCCUUCAAAUAGUACAAGAGCAACAUUUUAGUUUUGAGCCACUGGAGGGCAGACAUGAAUUAAACUCUUAAUUUCAUUUUCAAGGAAGCCCCAUGACUUCCUCAUUGAUAGAGGUCAACAUUAGUUUACAUUUUCAAAGCAUAUGUGCCAUGCUUUCAUUUCAAAGAACUGUCUAAUUGGCUUCCAACAAUAAAUCAGACAGUUAAAAAAUUACAAACUCCUACAAAAAUGUCAAGAGUACUAGAAUAAGGGGACUUAAUUUAAUCUGAAAUGUAUUUGUUAAUUUUGUGAUUAAUGCUUUAUUAAUUGCUACUGAUAUUUUAAAUAUCUCAAAAUUAAAAAGUAGUAAAAUGAAAGAAUUGCAUUUGUUACUGUAUUAUUAUUGUUUGCUUCUUUAAGUGGUGUCAAGAGAACUGCUCAGAUUUGUGUUGUGCAGCAUACCUUGAGCAAGAAUUGACUGGAUAUUUUAGGACUAGCCAUGCAUAAUUCAGAAAACUGAGAAAUGACUGACAAGUGACACAACUGCUGCUGACUUUUUGAAAGAAAUGCAAGUGAUCCUAAACAUACUUACUAGAGAGAAAGCGCUACUGAAAAUUGUUUGACUUUGAACUAAGCAUGUGGCUGUAAGUCGUAACUAUUCUAGGAAGCAGGAGGCCUCAGAUGACAAAACAUUAUUUUACUUUAAUGAUGUGAAUGCAAGAUGACAUUCUGAAAAGCAGCAAAAGCUCAGAGUAUCCAGAGAUCUUUGGUAUGUUUACUUGCAUGCUUUUUAGUAUGCUGAAUAAUACAAUGGUUUAUUUUGGAGAAAGGGCAAACCCAUUGGUAAAGCACCUGCCCUCUACCAUGCAUUCAGUGGCAUAUGUUGGGACAUUUAUGUUAGCUUUAUGUCAUAUUUGCCUUUUUAACGUGCCUACUAUUUUAACAGAAAUUGUUUUUAGCUGUUUAAGGGUGGCAUAUCUGGAGUCCCCGCUAGAAUUCUAUGUAAAAUGAAAACAGCUAUAUUAGUUAAGCUGUCCAUCAUACCCAAAAUCUCUUCUAUAUUUGAAAUAGUAAUUGAUGUAAUAGUACUUUCAAACCAGCACAAACAAGGUAUUUGUCCUUCCUAAGGAUAAAGCUAUUUUUUCUAGAUGGCAUUAAUGAAUGUUAAUCAAGGUUUAACAAAUUAACAAAAUUUUGUGGUCAUAUUAUUCAAACUCACAAGCAUGCAAAAAUCUGGGGAAAUAACUGCCACACCUUCUCUGCUUCUACAUGCAUCAAUUCUUUUUAGCUGGCUUCAAGCCAGUGAGAUCUCUAUUUAAUUUUGCCUGUAGCAUUUUUCUUGUAAUUUUAAUUGUGUGUGUGUUUGUGUUGGGCUAAAAUCCAAAUUGUUAUGUGUGUUACAGAAAAGCAUAUCUACUUGGGGAAGAGAGUGAUAGGUUUUCAAUGUUUGGUUCUAACUGCAGGUCUUUUGUGUGGUAUGAAGUCCUGAUAUGGAGAUUCCUGGCUUCCAGGGCAGCUUUCCAGAGAUAGAAGAGCCUCUACUGUGAAAGGAGGCUGGAAAAGCCAUGUUGUAUGAUUCUAACACUUUGGAUCUUAGCUGAGGACUGAACAGUAGUGUGUAUUCCAAGAUUCUACAACUGCAUUGCCGACUUACAGCAUUUCAUAUCAGACACAGAUGUAUCAUCUCAAGAACUUCAAAUUUUUAAAGCUGGUUCCUAGCAGUUAAGGGUAGAAAGUCUCAAAGAUGCAUAAGUAAUGUUUAAAGAAAUUAAGUCCACCAAAAAGUGUGAUAGUAAGCAGGGUUUCAAUAAUCAAGGGAAGGUCUGCUGUUCUCAUUUGCAAAAUGUAAAAUAAAUGUAUGCAUGUGUUUGUAAUUCA